rfam:Ceriporiopsis subvermispora B unplaced genomic scaffold CERSTscaffold_9, whole genome shotgun sequence.
GGCACUAUGGCCGAGUGGUUAAGGCGACAGAUUCGAAUUAAGUUGAUUAUCAUUGACUUCGGCUAUCUGUUUCCCUAUGGGAGCGUGAGUUCAAAUCUCACUGGUGUCG